AGACAUGCAGUGAGACAUUUAUUGGAAGAAAAAAGCACACAACUGGAAGCAGAGCGCGACUGAAGACGAGGGAACAGCAGCAAGUGAACCAGCCCGAGGAUUGAGAGCAUAAACUGGAGCGAAAGCGUCUGACUCGGAGAUUCCAGUGAUUCAGUCAGGAGAAAGUUUGAAUCCGUAACACAGCCUCACUUGGACAGAGUGGGAACAGAACCUGGAGCCGCGGAACAAGAACCUUUAACACAGCCUCACUGGGACAGGGUGGUAACAGAACCUGGAGCCGCUGUACACGGUAAGAAGCUCUUUUUACUGAAAUAUAAAAUACACAAAGGCAGUCAGACACUUAAAUGAGACUG